UGGGGAAUAUUGGACAAUGGGCGCAAGCCUGAUCCAGCCAUGCCGCGUGAGUGAUGAAGGCCCUAGGGUUGUAAAGCUCUUUCACCGGUGAAGAUAAUGACGGUAACCGGAGAAGAAGCCCCGGCUAACUUCGUGCCAGCAGCCGCGGUAAUACGAAGGGGGCUAGCGUUGUUCGGAUUUACUGGGCGUAAAGCGCACGUAGGCGGAAUAUUAAGUCAGGGGUGAAAUCCCGGGGCUCAACCCCGGAACUGCCUUUGAUACUGGUAGUCUUGAGUUCGAGGGAGGUGAGUGGAAUUCCGAGUGGAGAGGUGAAAUUCGUAGAUAUUCGGAGGAACACCAGUGGCGAAGGCGGCUCACUGGCUCGAUACUGACGCUGAGGUGCGAAAGCGUGGGGAGCAAACAGG
rnacentral:rRNA from 1 species